AAUCAACGCUGGCGGCGUGCCUCAGACAUGCAAGUCGAACGCGAAAGUUUCCUUCGGGGAACAAGUAGAGUGGCGCACGGGUGAGUAACACGUAGGUAAUCUACCUUUGGAUGGGGAAUAACAACCGGAAACGGUUGCUAACACCGCAUAAUGCAGCGGCACCUAAUGGUGACAGUUGUUAAAGCGGGGGAUCGAAAGACCUCGCGUCUGAAGAGGAGCCUGCGGCGGAUUAGCUAGUGGUAAGGUAAUGGCUUACCAAGGCGACGAUCCGUAACCGGCCUGAGAGGGCGGUCGGUCACACUGACACUGACAUACGGGUCAGACUCCUACGGGAGGCAGCAGUCGGGAAUUUUGGGCAAUGGGCGAAAGCCUGACCCAGCAACGCCGCGUGAAGGAUGAAAUCCCUCGGGAUGUAAACUUCGCAAGAACGGGAAGAAUAAGCGAGAGUUAAUAUCUUUCGUGAUGACGGUACCGUUUGUAAGCUCCGGCUAACUCCGUGCCAGCAGCCGCAGUAAC
rnacentral:rRNA from 1 species